CAAAGGAGGAUUGGCUGCAUCCAAAGCCAGUCCGGAUGCAAACUAGGGCCCCGGCCUCCGUCGGGCGAGGUGCUGGGGAGCGCGCUGGGGGUUGCAAGGUUGGGGAAGGGUUGGAGAGGGGCCACCUUCUGCAGUCACCGCGUCAGCGCUGGGCAGCUGCCAGGCACCCCUCCCCCUCUUUCAAGAAACUUCUUCCAACAGCCCCCUCUGACGGACCCCAAAUCUGCUCUCUCGUGCCUCACCCAUCCAAGCGGGGCACAAAGAAAUCUCAGUCUCUCCAUAAACUUUGUGCCUCCAGUUCUGCCGCCCCUUCCCCUAGCCUCCACCCCGCCCCUUCCAGAUUCUUGGCAGGAAGGUUAGGCCACUGGCAAAAUCCGCCAGGAGGGCCAGCUGAUCACAAAUGCCAACUGUGUGUCUUGGGGCCAGUUAAGUGCUCUCAUCUGCCCAGGCUCUCAGGAGACCAUUUCAAGGUUCCCUGGAGACCGAUGCGGACAGGGGCCAUUCCCCACUUGGCCCGCUGGGAUGGGGUGCUGAGCAGCGCCCUAAAAGUGCUAUUUCUCACCCAGAGUUUCCAUUUUAGAUUGUAAUAAUGCCUAAUUUUUUUUUUGCGGACAGGCAGGUAUUUCUCUCAUGACAGAAAGGAAGACCACUAGCCAAGGGAUAAAUCCUAGGUGGGAAAUGAGCUAUCCCGCCUAACAAUAUUAACUUUUUAAGGAAGUCUAUGGAACUUCUGAAGUCCCACCUCAACCCCAUGACCUUUCAUUCUUUUAGUUCUUCUGCCACAGGGAAGCAGCCAGCAACUAAUAAAAGAUUUGAUCUUGCCAUAAUUUCCAAGCAGUUUAGUAGAUUGGAGGACUCUAUGCAGCAAAGAUAAAUAAUCAUGUAUUUGGAACCAGUUUUAUUGAGGAUUGCCAAUUCAGAUGACUGGAUAAAGAAAACAUGAUCUUUUAUCAUCUUUUCAGCAUUUGUAGGGGAAAAAGUCUGAGUUUUACUCAAUAUGAAACAUUAUCUUAGGAUUUUCAUAAUAUCACCUGGCCAUGAGGAAUCAUAUAUAGAUGUGAUCGAGAUGGCAGAGAUCCUAUAUCCUGAGAUGGAAGAUGGGAAUGGAAAAACAUCAAAAUACUAUCUUUGAAGAAGGGAGAAAAAGUGAAUUUGUUUGCUAUAUAAGAGGAAGAAUGACAUAUUUUGUUGACCAGAAUUUGGUAGUGAUUGAGACUAUGUUAUAUGUUCAACACAUUGGUUUUCUCUUGCUGACAGAAAGGACAAUUGCAUGUUAUUCUCCCUUGAAAUUAGACAAAUUUCAGACAUAUAUAAGCAUAUAUGGAUUACAGUAUAAUGAAAUUACAAGUAUAAGCCAUUCACUUAAGAAAUAUAAUAUUAAACUGUAUAGGAUACUUCAUUCGACUCACUGCCCACUGUUAACUACUCAUUUGAAUUUAGUAGUAUCAUUUUCAUGCAACUUUAUGUAUAUUGGGAUUGUGACAUGUGACAUAAGGGUCAUGUGACAUAGUUCAGGUCAAUGGAAUGUAAACAAAAUAAUGUAAAAUAUUUUUAGGUUCUGCCCUUAAAUAAUCUUGUACAAUUUUCUAUUCCCAUAUUCCCUGUCAGUGUUACUCUUGUACACUGUUUUGAAUGUACUAAUAGCUAGAAGCAUCCUUGGGGCCCUGAGUCACCACUUAGAGGGGAAUUGUUCAGAAGAGCUGCCUCACCUACAUCAUGCUGUGACCUGAAUGAAAAAUAAAGAGAUUCUUA